GCGGUGGCUCAGUGGUAGAGCAUCUGCUUAGCAUGCAGGAGAUCCGAGGUUCAAUCCCCAAUUAAGACG
rnacentral:tRNA from 1 species